GACGUAGGGGGCCAGCGUUGUUCGGAAUUACUGGGUGUAAAGGGUUCGUAGGCGGUGCGGCAAGUUGGGAGUGAAAUCUCUGGGCUUAACCCAGAGGCUGCUUCCGAAACUGCUGUGCUUGAGUGUGGGAGAGGCGCGUGGAAUUGCAGGUGUAGCGGUGAAAUGCGUAGAUAUCUGCAGGAACACCCGUGGCGAAAGCGGCGCGCUGGACCACUACUGACGCUGAGGAACGAAAGCUAGGGGAGCGAAUGGG
rnacentral:rRNA from 1 species